CAAAGGUGUAAGAACAACAUCAUGAUGUAACAAUCCAAUGGGCAUUUUCAUCAAAAAUAAAACAACUCAAGUCAACCCUGUAAACAACUCAGGUACUCCUGGUCAUCCCAGUCCUAUGGCUGUAACCACCAGUACACAUCACACCAUCACCUCCAUCAAAAAGUAGAACCAUGGCUAUCCAGAACAGUACUCUCUGAACCUCACCUUCUUGGCGCUAGGUCCCCCCUUCUUCUUUGCAGGGGCAUCCGUGGUCCAUGGUGUUCGGCAACCGCGACAACAUACCCUCGAGUGGUUCUCUCACCUGCAAUUGUGUCAACUUUAAGUUCAGGUCAAACAAACAGUCCAAUUCCCUUUGAAUUCAGUGUGCAGCUUCUCAUUGAGUGGGUGAUUGCCGAGCUCAACCGCAUAGUUGUUUUAUUUGAAAUAGUUAGCUUGGAUCCACCCGAGAGAAACACACGUAUGUAGAAGUGCAAAGCUAAGCAAGCUGCUUGAUUGAUUUUACUGGGAUGGCAGCGUAGAUGUUCGUACAAGAAUGACCUGAACCUUGGUUCUGGCUGGCUACAGAUUUAGUCAAUCAAAUCGACCCUCCCUCAUGCAUGUGAGCUGGUGAUAGCCCAAGGUGUGCUCGAAGCAUGUCAAGAUCCGCCCUGUGUGGGAUCCUAAACACAUGCUGGGUAUCCUGCAAGGACCAAGAGCAUAAAACAUAAGGCUGCAAGGAAUUGCAUGAAGCAACUGUAAUACAGUAUGAGACAGCGAGCAGAGAAGCCAUAUCUGUUCGUGCUUCUUCAGUUCAGAUCAGUUCAAGAGGAUGUGUCAUAUAGGGUCGAACCCAUCCAAUAUCACACGUGCAUCCUAGCUCAACUGGUUGACCCCAGUGUCAACCCAUCAGGAGGUCCUGGGUUCAAACGCAAUGUUCUCCUUUUUCUCCUACUAGAUGGAAAGUGCGGCUUGCCGCACCCCGCACCCCUGCAGGGUGCAGUCGUAUCCCCCCCGCGGUCGUAUUCAACCUGAUAAUAAAGCUAUCAGAUCAAAGGUGUAAGAACAACAUCAUGAUGUAACAAUCCAAUGGGCAUUUUCAUCAAAAAUAAAACAACUCAAGUCAACCCUGUAAACAACUCAGGUACUCCUGGUCAUCCCAGUCCUAUGGCUGUAACCACCAGUACACAUCACACCAUCACCUCCAUCAAAAAGUAGAACCAUGGCUAUCCAGAACAGUACUCUCUGAACCUCACCUUCUUGGCGCUAGGUCCCCCCUUCUUCUUUGCAGGGGCAUCCGUGGUCCAUGGUGUUCGGCAACCGCGACAACAUACCCUCGAGUGGUUCUCUCACCUGCAAUUGUGUCAACUUUAAGUUCAGGUCAAACAAACAGUCCAAUUCCCUUUGAAUUCAGUGUGCAGCUUCUCAUUGAGUGGGUGAUUGCCGAGCUCAACCGCAGAGUUGUUUUAUUUGAAAUAGUUAGCUUGGAUCCACCCGAGAGAAACACACGUAUGUAGAAGUGCAAAGCUAAGCAAGCUGCUUGAUUGAUUUUACUGGGAUGGCAGCGUAGAUGUUCGUACAAGAAUGACCUGAACCUUGGUUCUGGCUGGCUACAGAUUUAGUCAAUCAAAUCGACCCUCCCUCAUGCAUGUGAGCUGGUGAUAGCCCAAGGUGUGCUCGAAGCAUGUCAAGAACCGCCCUGUGUGGGAUCCUAAACACAUGCUGGGUAUCCUGCAAGGACCAAGAGCAUAAAACAUAAGGCUGCAAGGAAUUGCAUGAAGCAACUGUAAUACAGUAUGAGACAGCGAGCAGAGAAGCCAUAGCUAAAAAUAAGAAGCCUCAGGCAUAAGCCAUUAUACUGGGAAUAAAUAGACAUAAAGAAUGAUAGAAAUAUAUCCUUGGCUGGUCAGCAAACUGAUCGCGAUGUGCUGUUACCAUGUAAUUUAUGGAGCUGGCAACCUAACACGGCAGUGCCACUUGUGAUAAUCCAUUAAAUUUGGGGAAAAUCCUAAAUUACCGAUUCUGGCUAACGAAGCUUGACAUGCACAUGUCCACUGGCUUAUAAUCUGAAAUCAGUAGUUCAAGAGCGCAAGGACGUGAGAUGGUGCUCGCACGUAGCCGAAGCAGAAAAUGGACCCAGCAUCUUAGAAAAGUGCAUAGGACCGAAAAUGAGAUAACAACUCUGAAGUAAUUAUAGUGCCUGCCCCAUUAUAAAGUCAGUUUACGACCACUGCUUAAAGUAACAGGAAAUUAAAAAAGUCGUGCGUAGGUGUGGAUAUCAUCAACAGCCCAAGCAGGGCAACAAAUAUGUGUUAUGUAAAUAAUCAGCCAUAUCCAAGGCUACCUUCGACAGCAGGUUAUAACCAAAAUAAGAGAUACAAAGAAAGAUCCUUUCUUUGGGCCUUACUAAGAUUUGAGAACCUUUUCUGCAGGUAAAAAACAAUAAAAACACCGUACAGAAAAUCCAGUAAGCAUAGGCCCCUCUCCACAAGGCAGAUUGUAGUAUAUUGCCUGAAUCUAAACAUUAUUAUUUAGCUACCGCUAUUAUGUAUACCCCCUAGAUUAGAUAUGUAUUUGUCUACACAGAGCAUUUCCUUUGAUUUUUAAAAACCGCUAAGCCACAUACGGACUACACUAAAGCAGACCCCUCCCUCACUGCUAUGCUUGCGCAACCUGAACUUGUUUACACCACUAAACAGAUGGGGCAAUCACCUUUAGGACAGAUUGUGGAUGCUUAUUUAAGUGUGUGUCAACAAAUUAAAAUUUCAUAUGUAGAAGUGGGUCAAUUCAAGUUGGUAGCAAGCAUUCGCAUGGCCAAUUAAAAAAGCAUAGUUAUGUCUAAUAGAAUCCUGCUUUCAUCUCUGCCAUAUGGAUCCCACCUCUCUAUAGAUGAAUUAGAGAAUUCCCAAAAAAGUAUUCAUUUCAUACUGAAUCUAUACAACCAAAUAAUGCAAUCAGUUAGAAAGGAAAAUCCAUCUAAAGAUUACAAUUAACAGGAAAAGAAAAAUUAUAUAAGAUCUACCUAAACCAAAGGCUAAGAAUUCCUAUCGGAGAGCAGACUAAUGAUAACAGUAUCACAUAUGUGCUACCCAUGCCAAAAAAGGUAUGUGUUUCUACAUUAGGGUUGCAUCCACCAAUCAUGCAAGCAUCACAUUGCAUUUGUCACAGAGCAAAUCAAGCAUAAACAAAUCAUGGCAUAGAAAUUAGAGCAAACUACAGCGGCGGCGAGGCUGGCGCUAGAGCAGCAAGGCAAGGUUUCUACAUUAGGAUUGCAUCCACCGAUCAUGCAAGCAUCACAUUGCAUUUUCCACAUAGCAAAUCAAGCAUAAACAAACCAUGGCAUAGAAAUUAGAGCAAACCUCAGCGCUGGCGAGGAAGCCAGGGAGGUGCUUCAACAAGUAUUAUGCCAGUACAUGCACCGCAUAAACCUAUGAACAAACCUACCUGCAAUCAAAACUGCAGCAAAUGCCAUACAAAUAAAUCAGAGGAGCAUAGUCUAAAAGGAGGCUAAUGGAGCAUCAAUCAUAAACUAUUUGAAGCAAAACAAUCAAUAAAUAACUUAUUACCAGAAGCAAUCUCAUCCAUAUGGUUAAUUAAUCAGAAGUAUCUGAAACUAACAUUCAAAUUAGGGAUAGAAUUCAGCGUAUAUAUGCUCUAGUAUUUGUUGGAUCCUAAGUAGCCUAGAGCAAUUUUAUAGCUGAGAGAUCUUUAAAGAACUAACACAUCCAUAUAAUUGAGAAAAUAAAAAUAAAAUAUCAACAACGCAAGUACAUGGACUGAAUACUUGCUCAGAUUAAUAUAUUCAUUCAGACUUGUCACCGAAUACCAGACGUUGAACUUGGCGAGCACAGCAUAUGCUAAGAUUGGACAAUAUGACUAAACACAACAACGGAGCAAGUAUCAUUCAAGUAAACCAACACGACACACUUCAGUAAUUGGGUUUAGGUGUGUGAACUGCGCGCACGCACAAAGAGAGUGAGCGAAUAUAUACAUAUAUAUAUAUAUAUAUAUAUAUAGAGAGAGAGAGAGAGAUGGGGAUCGUACCGGAUCCAAAGCAACAGGUAGCCAAGCUGCGAUAAAUCCAUCGACGGCGGCUCAGUUCCCGCGCCAGGCCGACCAGAUCAGAGAGAUCAACGCGAGGCAUCUGAGAAGUAAAGGAGUAGAAUAUAUUACUAUGCAGCCUCUUUAAAGUUCAGAAGGAGAAUCUCAAAUAGAGUGACCAUUGUAAACGAUUUAUGCACAAAAAUCAAUAAUGCAGAGGAACAUAAUGUGUAUCUUUGGUGCAUUAUACUCAAAUGGAAAUUAAUUAAUGCCAAUGACCAUUUUUGAAUGCCCAAGAACAUUCAGCUAUAACACACUCGAUUAUGCAUGUGCAAAACCAUGAUAGUAACAACAGAAAAGAAUCAACGAAAAGAGAACCCACGCACCAGUUCCAAUAUUUAUCCUUGAAAAACACAUGCCCCAUCUUGUUUCCUCCUAUAGUACAGAACCCUGACCCUGAAACAUACAAUAAAAUUCAAAUAUAGUUCAGCCAUUAUUAGGUCAAAAUGCAUGCCUCUCCGAGAGAAAUAAGUGCACACGACAUCAUUUGGUUGAUCAGAAAGUUGGGGAGCACAUUAGGAUCACUGAGAUAGAAAUGAAAUUCAAAGGAUUUGAAGCUAGUAUUUGUCAUCGUUCAAUAUUGGUAGAGAGGAAUCCGCAUGUCAUAUAAUAUUUCUAUCUUUAAAAAUAACAACUAAUCAGUGAACCUCAUUCCACACCAACUAAGCACAGAUCAAUGUAUGAAUUGCACACAAAAAUUAGGAGAUGGUAGGAGAGAUGAAAUGGCUCACCAGUUCACUCCUAGAUCCAAGCACCACUAAAUUAUUUGUGUUGUGCAGGACUACAUCAGUUGCAUUGGUAGCCUGGAAAAAAUCCAGAUAUGCAUAUCAAUCAAAGUUGGCAUUGUUACACUUGCGGUCAUUCAUCUCUAUUCAUUGCAAGCAGCAGGCAACAACGAACACUGUAAGCACUUAACAAAGCAGGCACAUAGAAAUGUAGAAAAAUGGGAUACCUGUAGGCCAUACAUCACACGAUGCAUGGAUCCUCUAAGGCUGCAAGGCAGAUCUUCCAUCAAUUCCAGGGAAGAGUGUUCACCACGAGAGGGAGGCUUGUAUAUGAGUACCAUCUUCUUCUUCCCGCGGCCCUGGAGGACUGCAACUCUGCCCUUGCGAUCUAGCCCCCCUGCAAAUGAACAAACAG
rnacentral:lncRNA from 1 species